rnacentral:rRNA from 1 species
UGGAGCAUGUGGUUUAAUUCGAUGCAACGCGAAGAACUUACCUGGUCUUGACAUCCACAGAACUUUCCAGAGAUGGAUUGGUGCCUUCGGGAACUGUGAGACAGGUGCUGCAUGGCUGUCGUCAGCUCGUGUUGUGAAAUGUUGGGUUAAGUCCCGCAACGAGCGCAACCCUUAUCCUUUGUUGCCAGCGGUCCGGCCGGGAACUCAAAGGAGACUGCCAGUGAUAAACUGGAGGAAGGUGGGAUGACGUCAAGUCAUCAUGGCCCUUACGACCAGGGCUACACACGUGCUACAAUGGCGCAUACAAAGAGAAGCGACCUCGCGAGAGCAAGCGGACCUCAUAAAGUGCGUCGUAGUCCGGAUUGGAGUCUGCAACUCGACUCCAUGAAGUCGGAAUCGCUAGUAAUCGUGGAUCAGCAUGCCGCGGUGAAUACGUUCCCGGGUCUU